GGUGAAAACAGAUAAUUUAACUCAAUUCUAAGAUAAGUUGAAUAUGAAGGUUUUUCUCAUGACAAAGACCAAAACAAAUUAAAGUUGCAAAUAUAACAAAUAAACAUGUCAGGGAAUCUCAAAAGUACAGAGAUAGAAAACCAUAAUGACUCGAACAGCAGUUCCUUGAGCUAACAGCAUUUAGAAAAGCAAAGCUUUGAUUGCAGCUUAUGAUACCAAAUGCUGUGUUUAUUUAUUGACAAAACUGCAUGCAUUGUUGACAAAGCCACGCAGAUGCUACCAUUAUUAGCUGAGAGUCGAUUGCAACUGCUUACAGUGUGCGUGUUCAAGUUAACUACAUUGAAAUAUUCCAGCAGAUGAUCACAUCUCCAUCCAGAACUAUAACAUACGCCCAUAGAAAGGGAAGAAAAUCCUAACCCUUUCAUUUGAUCGUUUAAUUUGAAGGGAAGAAAGCAAUUGCAUCUCAGCAAGAAGAACCAAACUAAGGGAGAAGAACCAAACUAAGGGCUUCAAAGCUAUUCAUCAACCAAAAUCAAUAUAAUAAAUCAUUCCCUAGAAGCUGCCCAUCAAUUCAACGUCAACCACAAACCACGACCUAUUUUCAUUUGCUCAGCAGCAAUAGCAACAGAUGAAGAGUCUUAUUUCCAAUAUGGGAAAGUAUAGCCUUUCUUUGUAAAUUCAUUCCAGUGUGAUCUCAAAUUUUCAGGAACCUUUGUACAAAUUCUUUUGUUUUGCAAUGAAAAAGUGCUAUGCCCAUUAAAAACAUGAAGAGCACUUCAGCGAUUCCAAGAAACGAGAAAAUACAUGAUGGCAAGUGUUAUGAGCAUUCCCACAUAUUUGAUCCAUCUAUCAACACGAUUCCGCCUCUCAAUGAGUCUCAAUACAGAGUUGGAGAGCCCCACCGUGUUAAGAACAUCCAGAGCUUUGCGUUGUGCAUUCUUCAAGCGUUCCCUUUGCUCUGAAUAUUUGGAAAGGAUGGCUGUUCCUGUUGAUAAAGAUUCUUGCAACAUCCUUUUUGAAUUUUGAACUGACUGCAUUGCUUGUGCUUCCUCAUCAAAUAUUCUUAAAACAUGAGCUGAUUCACCAUUUGCUCUUCCAAGCAAUUCUGCCCUCUCCUGAGCUUCCCUCAUCCGCCUUUGAUUCCUUGAGAAGUAUCUAUCCAGACUUUGUUUCAAUGAUUCAGCUUCUUCUGCUACUUGUUCUACCUUUCUGUCAAACCAAAAGUCAAAAUUCUGUUCAGCGUUUAACAAAAUGAAAAUGGUUAUUUAGGCUUGUAACAGAUUUUGUGUGCCUUGAUUAUUCACCUUGCUUUUAAAUAAGACAUUUUUCUUACACAACUGUAAAUAUAUGAAAAUUUUAGUCAAAGCACAUAUUCAUAUUUCAUAAUAUUCCUUGUUCAAAGCAUUGUGAUAAAGAGUUCUCAAAAGUGUUGUCUCAAAUAAGUGAUGGAAAAUAAAGUUGACAUUUUUUAUCAAAUCUAUAUUUUUCCCCCUAUUGGUUAGAAUGUUGACUUUAAAUUAAAGCUUUAAAGAUUGUUUAUUUUGUUAGUUAAAUAGUGACAAUAUCUUUAUUAACAAAAGAACCAUUUAUAUUAUUUUUGAAUUUUCUUUGUUUCCUCUUUUUAUUUUUUUUUUUCUUGGGCAUCCACCCUUUCUCAAGCAUGUGCCAGCACCUACGCCUUGUGCCUAGGUUCCAAGGCUCCUUCAUGCCUUAGUAUUCGUGAUAGAAAAGACUAUCUUUGACCAACUCAACACAUUCCAAGAAAGCUGUCCCCAACUCAACAAAAUCAAAAUUUCAAAUAGUUCUCCUAAAAAAUGAUAUCACAGAACACAAAAAAUGGCAUAAUGAAACAUGGUGAUUGAUGAGUGAGAAACAAACCACAAAUGCUCAAAACUAUUGCAUCUUGCAAUUCAUUGAUUUAUCUACUACAAACACAGCAGGGGAAUGGAUCCUAAUACAAAGCCAUUUGAUCUUGAACUAAUUUAGCAAUUUGCUUCAUGGAUUUGCAUUUUAGUUUAAAUUAUUUGAGUACUGUCUACAAUGCAUACUUUUAUUACAACAUCGAUUGAAUUUAUAGUUAUGGAUGAAAACUCAUUGAGGGACGUAUUAUUUUAUUUAGAAAACACCUAACAAGAAGGUGCAAAUUCAGAUAAACUUUCCACAAGAUUUGAUUGAAAUAUCCUUUUUGUAACCUCACAUUUUCUCAAAGCCAAAUGAUUGGAAAAUAGUAUAUAAUAAAAAGACAAAGCAUUUGAAUCAGAGACUUGGUGCUCGUAGAGGUAUGAAGAUGUAACACUAAAUUCUCUCCCCUAAAUAGCAUAAACCACAAUUCGCCAUAAUUCUCAAGCAAUUGGACAAAGACAAAACAUCUAUUGAAUACCAAAUCAAGUUAAUUAUUAGGACUAAAGCCAAAAAAGUUUACUCCAAAUCACAAACACCAUAGUUCAAUUAGAGAAUUAUAGCUCGAAUAGAAACAAUUUUCCUAAGGCAUUAAAAAUGAGCUGUGUUUGCAUAUCUUUCCGGGACAAUUAAGGUCAUUUGAUGACUGCUUUUAACUGAUUUCCUGAAAUUGAUACAGCGAGGUCAAAAUUAGGCUUUCCAAUUUGACAAAUUGUGCUUCAAAUGGAUGCACAUAUAUAUGUGCGUAAUUAAUAAAUAAAUCAAUUGACAAAUGCGGCACCGUAGCUUCUUCAUUCUAGGGUUAACGUGAAGAGAAGCGCAGAGCGAAUUAAGUACGUACCUUUUCCAGAGAUCACGCUGGGGUUUAGCGGCGAUUA
rnacentral:misc_RNA from 1 species